rnacentral:lncRNA from 1 species
AUUUUCUGAAAAUAAUGCUCGCUUGGCGAGAAAGAAUUCCAGUUUUGAUCUUACAGGUAUCUUAGAUAGCUUGAAAGACAAGAUACAAGAGGAACCACCCAAGGAAAUAAAGAUGAAACUGAGGAACAACCAACGGAAGAAGCGCCACAAUUGGAAAAAGAAACAAAAGUGCCAAAUGAGUGGAGGACGAUCAAAGAUCANNN